AUGUGGAAAUUAUUUACCAACAAGCUGCAGACCAAAGACGAAUUACAAAGAAGAAACAUCAUCAACAAAGCGCAUAAUUUGGUGUGUCCUCUAUGCUUCAAAGAGGAAGAAGACUUAGUUCAUCUAUUUUUCAAUUAUGAGUGUUAUGGAGCUUGUGUUGGUCGGUUUGGUUUUGAGAAUGUUGGUUUAUUUGGUCUAGUAGGAAUAGAAUUCUCUUUGCAGGGGCUUUUGUUGACAUUAAAGAGUUAG